rnacentral:rRNA from 1 species
UGCGUAGGCGGUUUAUUAAGUCAGAUGUGAAAGCCCCGGGCUUAACCUGGGAACUGCAUUUGAUACUGGUAGACUAGAGUAUGGUAGAGGGGGGUAGAAUUCCUAGUGUAGCGGUGAAAUGCGUAGAUAUUAGGAGGAAUACCAGUGGCGAAGGCGGCCCCUGGACCAAUACUGACGCUGAGGUACGAAAGCGUGGGUAGCGAACA